rnacentral:rRNA from 1 species
UACGUAGGGGGCGAGCGUUGUCCGGAUUGACUGGGCGUAAAGCGCACGCAGGCGGUUGCGCGCGUGGGGUGUGAAAUCUGGCCGCUUAACGGCCAGGCGCCAUCCCAUACGGCGCGACUGGAGUGAUGCAGUGGUCGAUGGAAUUGCCGGUGUAGUGGUGAAAUGCGUAGAGAUCGGCAGGAACACCCAGGGGGAAACCAGUCGACUGGGCAUCUACUGACGCUGAGGUGCGAGAGCGUGGGGAGCGAACCGG